CUGAGCAAUGCGCAGGCUCUCCACAGAGAGUCCAGAGAAGCUGGAACUGUUUGGAUGACCCCUUUUGGAAUCAGGAGGACCCUGAAAGAAGUCUGAGUAGCCUCAGCUCUGCAGACACACACACACCAAGUGAUCUGAGGGCCAUUCCUUUCAUUGUUAGUCCUGUUGAGAUGACACCGCUCACUCCAGUUCCUCCACCUCCUCGAGCAGCUUGUCCAUCGCAAUUGCCUGUUUUCUCUGCUAAACAUUCAGGAGCAGGUCGGUUCAAAGACACGAAGGUCAUUCGUGGAAUAAGAGUCUUGACAGCAAAAGACAAAUUUGGGCCUAUUUUGGAAAAACUGCAGCAUUUCCAGGAUGGGAUUGUAACCUCACCUGGACACACAGUACCAACCAAAACAUUUACUGCAGUAAAGCCUUUGACUCCAAAACCUCCAACAGUUCCCAUACCGCAAAAACGAGGACCUCGGCCUGGGACGCUGCUGCGCCGUGCAAAAGUCGUCCCUAUAGACGACAAGAAAGCAGACAGUCAGUGCAGUCAGAAUAAUCCAAGAGAGAGCAGGGUCAAACUCCCGCCUGUAGCUACACCUGUAGAUAGC